CCAUCCGGCGUCAAAUGCUGGUAUUCUAGGGUUGAUCGAUUUAUGUCUUACGAGGUUAGUUUAUGGUUGGGCCGUUGGGGAUUCUGUUGUUCUGGGUUUGGGUGGUGGUGAUUGGCGAAGGGGAUGGAGGUUGAAUAGGGGUGGUGGUGGUUGAUGGAGGUUGAAGGCGGAGGGUGUAGAAUUUGUGGCGGUUGGUUGUUGCCGGAAAAGAAUUGGUGGCAAACGGCAAUGGUGGUGACUGGCCCAUGAGCGGAAGGAAGGGUUGGAUGGCGAUGGCUUCAUGGUGUCACAUUUAACUGUGGAAAAUACAGCAAGCUGCCAUCGCAGAUAAGUAUGUUGUGGCGGUGGACAGUUCUUCGAUAUUCUUCAUCUUUUAUUGAUUUGAAUUUAAAGCACAAAAAGAUGAUUUACUCGUUAGAGGAGAACGCCAACUCUACUGCGAGUGUAAGAUACAGGGUGCUAGCGACCUUAUAUAUGGAAAUGUAUUAGCGAUUCUCCAAAGGGCGACUUUGAAAAUCUUUGAAGCGUCUAAUCUGUUCCCUAUCUCAAGCCACAAUAGGAUUAGUCCUACCGGUAUAUGUAGACUAGUAUUUCACCUUUGCAAUUUUUCAUAUUCACAUGAUUCAAACUAUUCCAAUGCAUCACUGUACUAGGGUGCACCUUUAGGACCCUUUGCUAAAUUCGUGAUCAUGCUAAGUCUUUUAGAGAUUAGGGGCACUUGGUCUUAUGCCCGUAUACACUUUCUACAGUUUUUUAUGGCCAAUAUGACAAUUCCAAGCCAGAUGUGGGUGAUGAUAUUACAUCACCAUUUGUUAACACA